UCCACGCCCUAAACGAUGAACACUAGUCGUCGGGAUGCUAGUCAUCUCGGUGAUGCACUUAACAGAUUAAGUGUUCCGCCUGGGGAGUACGGUCGCAAGAUUAAAACUCAAAGGAAUAGACGGGGACCCGCACAAGUGGUGGAGCAUGUGGUUUAAUUCGAAAAUACGCGAAGAACCUUACCUAGCCUUGACAUUGAAGAAACAGUGUAUCUCUACUCUGUUUCUUCAAUGUC
rnacentral:rRNA from 1 species